CCCAGCGGGCGCCCCCCUCAACAGUCGCGAAGACACCAGGGGCUCCUUCUGCCCCUCCGCGCGGUCUCUCACCCCUUCCUCGACGGCUGCCCUGGCUGCCAAAGCCCGUGAGCGUGCUGGGACCGGCCGGCCUGGAAAGUGUACUUGGGAUGUGAGAGGGAGAAAGUUGCUUCCACUUCACCUAUUCCUGGCCCGGAGAUGGGGGAGGGGCCUCCGGACGUCCUCGAGGCCGCGCUUGCGUUCCAGAAACUCAAAGCCUGGGGCCAGGAUGGCUAGCGGGGUUCCCCAGUGCCUGGGCGAGGCGGGCCAGCCCCAUCCUGCUGCGUCUCGAAAGACAGGGGACAGGAGUAAACGAAAGUGGCUGGCCCUGAGCAGCGUCCAGGGUGGGCCAGCGCUGGACGGGUCCAGAGAGGAGCGCGGCGAGCGGAGCUUCCCUGACAGGAGCAGAUUGGGCAUCUGGUGCUCAGCCUCCACCCGGGACGGGGUGAAGCAGCUUGUGAAAAGCUCAUAUACGUUUAAGCCACAGUGGACCUAGUCGUAAAAGAGGAUUUUAAAGUCUGGCAAACAAAACUGUUCGAUACUUGCAAACAUUUUGGAGAAAAACUUUCCUGGGCUUAAAGCUGAGAAGUCAUUUGAGCCACGCAGGAUCUGUGUCUGAUCCAUCUCUGCAGCCAAGAGUGUCUAGCACAAUGCCCAGUGACUGUGUUGAAAUGCGGUUCCCACACAGACCUACAUUUGGUUUCACAGAGUGAUAAUUAUAUACCGAUCACUGAUAAAGAGGGUCUUUGGAGUGCGGUUUUU
rnacentral:lncRNA from 1 species